GGCUAACGCUGGUGGCGUGUCUUAGCCAUGCAAGUCGAGCGGACUUAUGGGGUAACUUAUAAGUCAGCGGCGGACGGCGGAGUAACACGUAGCUAACCUACCCUCUGGACGGGGAUAACCUACCGAAAGGUGGGCUAAUACCCGAUGUAGUCAUCCUGUAUAGGGGUGAUGAAAGGUGGGCUUCUGUUUACAAGCUCAUGCUGGAGGAGGGGGCUGCGGCCUAUCAGGUAGUUGGUAGGGUAAUAGCCUACCAAGCCGAUGACGGGUAGCCGGCCUGAGAGGGUGACCGGCCCGAGGGGCACUGAGAUACGGGUCCCACUCCUACGGGAGGCAGCAGGCUAGAAAUUUGGGCAAUGGGGGAAACCCUGACCCAGUGACGCCGCGUGCAGGAAGGAGCCCUUCGGGGUGUAAACUGCUGUCGUGUAGGGAGAAGGGUACUAAGGUGAACAAUCUUAGUACUUGACGGUACUACAGGAGGAAGCCCAGGCUAACCUCGUG
rnacentral:rRNA from 1 species